rnacentral:rRNA from 1 species
AUUAACGCUGGCGGCAGGCCUAACACAUGCAAGUCGAGCGGUAACAGAAAGUAGCUUGCUACUUGCUGACGAGCGCGGACGGGUGAGUAAUGCCUAGGGAUCUGCCCAGUCGAGGGGGAUAACAGUUGGAAACGACUGCUAAUACCGCAUACGCCCUACGGGGGAAAGGAGGGGACCUUCGGGCCUUUCGCGAUUGGAUGAACCUAGGUGGGAUUAGCUAGUUGGUGAGGUAAUGGCUCACCAAGGCGACGAUCCCUAGCUGUUCUGAGAGGAUGAUCAGCCACACUGGGACUGAGACACGGCCCAGACUCCUACGGGAGGCAGCAGUGGGGAAUAUUGCACAAUGGGGGAAACCCUGAUGCAGCCAUGCCGCGUGUGUGAAGAAGGCCUUCGGGUUGUAAAGCACUUUCAGUUGUGAGGAAAGGGUGUUGCUUAAUACGCAACAUCUGUGACGUUAGCAACAGAAGAAGGACCGGCUAACUCCGUGCCAGCAGCCGCGGUAAUAC